GUAGUCAAGUUAGAAAGGGCGCACGGUGGAUGCCUUGGCAAUUGGAGCCGAUGAAGGGCGUAGUAAGCAACGAUAGGCUUCGGUGAGUCGCUCACAGACUGACCCGGA
rnacentral:rRNA from 1 species